rnacentral:rRNA from 1 species
AGCAGCCGCGGUAAUUCCAGCUCCAAUAGCGUAUAUUAAAGUUGUUGCAGUUAAAAAGCUCGUAGUUGAAUUUCGGGAUCAAUACGUCGGUCGUGCUUCGGUACGUACUGGCGUCAUUGAUUUCUCCCUUCUGACGAACCAUGAUGUCAUUAACUUGGUGUCAUGGGAAAUCAGGACUGUUACUUUGAAAAAAUUAGAGUGUUUAAAGCAGGCUCACGCUUGAAUACAUUAGCAUGGAAUGAUGAAAAUAGGACGUUCGAUCCUAUUUUGUUGGUUUUAGGAUCAACGUAAUGAUUAAUAGGGAUAGUUGGGGGCAUUAGUAUUCAAUUGUCAGAGGUGAAAUUCUUGGAUUUAUUGAAGACUAACUACUGCGAAAGCAUUUGCCAAGGAUGUUUUCAUUAAUCAAAGAACGAAAGUUAAGGGGUAUCGAAGACGAUCAGGUACCGUCGUAGUCUUAACCAUAAACUAUGCCGACUAGGGAUCGGAUGAUGUUAAUUUUUU